GAUGAACGCUGGCGGCGUGCCUAAUACAUGCAAGUCGAGCGAACAGACGAGGAGCUUGCUCCUCUGACGUUAGCGGCGGACGGGCGAGUAACACGUGGAUAACCUACCUAUAAGACUGGGAUAACUUCGGGAAACCGGAGCUAAUACCGGAUAAUAUAUUGAACCGCAUGGUUCAAUAGUGAAAGACGGUUUUGCUGUCACUUAUAGAUGGAUCCGCGCCGCAUUAGCUAGUUGGUAAGGUAACGGCUUACCAAGGCAACGAUGCGUAGCCGACCUGAGAGGGUGAUCGGCCACACUGGAACUGAGACACGGUCCAGACUCCUACGGGAGGCAGCAGUAGGGAAUCUUCCGCAAUGGGCGAAAGCCUGACGGAGCAACGCCGCGUGAGUGAUGAAGGUCUUCGGAUCGUGAAACUCUGUUAUUAGGGAAGAACAAAUGUGUAAGUAACUAUGCACGUCUUGACGGUACCUAAUCAGAAAGCCACGGCUAACUACGUG
rnacentral:rRNA from 1 species